GCAACUUGCUCAGAUUUAUGUUUCCGUAGUGUGGGAGCUUUGUUCUUUCACUGUUUGCGGUGCCAUUCCAUAUAAAGUGAAGGAUAACGGCUACAGCAUUUUUUGUUAGACUUGGACAAUGUUGAAUGUACUACAGAAGCAUACUUUAAGGAUAUCUCUCUGUCGGCUAGGCUGGAGUGUAGUGGUGUGAUCAUCAUGGCUCACUGUGGCCUCAAACUCCUACUAUGGACAGGAGACAGGGAAAUACUGGGUAGAAGAGGACAGUUCCCCAGCAAAGGCCCCACCCUCAAGCCUGGAUACCCAUGGCCCUAAAUGGGAACAGGCAUUUCUGUUUUUGCACCCCAAAAGUUGACUUUUGGCCCACAUGCUCCCUAUCCUGUACCCAUAUAAACCCCAAAUUCCAGGCUCCAGAGAGAGACAAGGAGAUGAGGAGACAAGCAGACGAACAGCGGAACAAUGCAGCAGAGAAAGAGAGAAGAGAAGGAACGUCUGAACGUCGAGAGGAGUUCGGCUGCUGGACGGCCAAACUCCAGGGGAAGAUCAUCUUCCCACUCCAUUCCCCCUCCAGCUCCCCAUCCAUCCCACUGAGAGCCACUUCCACCACUCAAUAAAAGCCCCACAUUUAUCCUUCAAGUCCAUGUGUGAUCCAAUUCUUCUGGGAUGCUAAACAAGAACCUGGGAUACAGAAAGCUGUCACACUGGCCCUCUGCCCUUGCAGAAAGGCAGAGGGGCCCUGAGCUGGUUGAUACUUAAGCUGUCUGUGGAUGGCAGAACUAAAAGAGCAUUGG
rnacentral:lncRNA from 1 species